GGCCGGGUGGCCGAGUGGCGAGGCAAGGGUCUGCAAAACCCUUCUACAGCGGUUCGAAUCCGCUCCCGGCCU
rnacentral:tRNA from 1 species